rnacentral:lncRNA from 1 species
UUUUAUUUUUUUAUUUUUAUUUCGUGUAUGAUAAUUUUAUGUAUUGAAGUAAGUUAAUAUAUUUUUCAUUUACUCAUUAAUUUAUUUCUUUGCAAUAGUGUUAUUUCUAAUCCUAAGUAGAAUUUGAGUAGUUAAGUGUUAGUACUAGCAUUAUGUGGUGGUUUUCUUAGGAUUGGUUGUCACUUCCAAAGCAUCAAGGGUGGAACUCAUCUU